CCGGCAAUGCCCUUCGUCCCACUUACCGCAGAUCCAGGCCCUGAGUGAAGACCAGCAGAGUGCAUCCAGCAGCGCCCAGCAGGAUGGAGGUGCUCAGGGCUGUCCUCCUGGCCCUGCUGCUGUGCGGGCAAUCAGGUGCGGGCAUGAGGGGGUGGUGUAGUCCUGGCCCUGGGACCCCCAUGGGCCCCCAGUCUGGGGACAAGGCAUGGGUUUGGGGGAAGGAGGGGUGAGGCUGGUGUCCCCAGGCUAGAAGGAGGUGGGUAAGGCUGUCCUGGGCCCCCAGAAUCAUGGCCCCAGCUGGGACCAGGUUCCCCUCUUCCCCAGUGCUACAGGGCUUUGGGGACCCUGCUCACUUCUGGUCUGUUUCCUCUUCUGUGAACCAGACAAGCCGUGGCGAAAAGGGUGGACAGGGGUGGGGGCACUCCACUCGAGUGUAUGUCCUCUGUACCUGGGUGGCUGAGGUUUAGAGGCGUCCCUGCACGGCCAGGGUGUGGACAGGCACAGGAGGAAGAUGCUGAUGACACGGACUUGGGGCCGGACAGCUACGGUUAUGAUGAUGAGGACGAGGAGGACGAGGAGGCCAAUGUGGCCCCUGGCACAGGUACCCUUCACCACCCGGCCCAGGGCCCUGCCCCCCUGCCUGGCUGGAGGGGGCCUCUGUCCUCACCUCCGCCCUGAGGGUGGAGCAGAGAGAAUGGCCUGCCCCGCACCAGGAGGCCUCGCCUGCCCCAGGCUGCUCUCUGUCCUGCAGCCUUCAAGUGCCAGGCUGCCUGCCCAGAGUUCUCAGAUGCACCUCCAAGCCCUCAAGGCCAAUGGCAGGGGCCGGGGGCCUGGGGCCCUGCCACUGAGCAGGUAACCAAUGGAGGCACAGAAAGGUCACCCUGCUGUCCCCAUGCCUCAUCCUGGCUCAUCCUUCAAGAACCUCCAGCAAGCGGCCCCCAGGGUAGGCCCUGGGAGCAGCUCAUGGGAAGGGUGGAUGGGGCUUGCUUGAGAAGGCCCUGCAGACCCUGCCCUGCUGAGCAGGCCACGCCCACAGAGCGCCUGCAGUGCUACUCCUGCCAGUCCCUGCACAGAGGCGAGAACUGCACCCAGAUGCAGAGCUGCCCUAGCCACGCCUCCUGCAUCACGCUGAUCACCCAUGGAAACACAGGUGAGUGGAUGCAGCUGGCACACACUUGGGGGCCCCAAGGGCAGGAGCCCACCUCUGUGCCCCUACUUCAACACCUGUUCUCCACCUUCCCCCAGACUCAGGUUUCCUGACCACCUACUCCAUGUGGUGUGUGGACACGUGCCAGCCUAUUACCAAGACAGUACAUGGAACCCAGAUGACCAAGACCUGCUGCCAGUCCACCCUGUGCAAUGUCCCACCCUGGCAGAGGCCCCAAAUCCUGGAUCCUCUGGGUGGCAGGGCAGGCAGCCCACAGGACGGUGGAGCUGGCCAUCCCAAGGGAGGCAGGGCAGGCAGCUCCCAAGAUGGCGGAGCUGGCCAUCCCCAGGAAGGGGAGGCAGACAGCCCCCAAGACAGUGGAACUGGCCAUCCCCAGGGCGGUGGGGCUGGCCAUCCCCAGGGCAGCAGGCCUGGACAUCCCCGGAGUGGUGGGGCUGGCCAUCCCCAGGGAGGCAAGGCAGGCAGCCCCCAAGAUAGUGGAACUGGCCAUCCCCAGGGCAGCAGGCCUGGACAUCCCCAGAGUGGUGGAGCUGGCCAUCCCCAGGGUGGCAGGGCAGGUGGCCCCCUAGGAUGUCCCCAAAAUGUGGGUACAGCCCUCCUGCUCAGCCUCCUCACCAACCUUUGGGCAACGGGGGCCUGAAGACUUGCCCUCUCCCACCACUUAGGCCCUGGCCUGGCGCUCUGUCCAGUGUCUCCCCUACCCCAUCUCCAGCCUGAG
rnacentral:lncRNA from 1 species